AUUGAACGCUGGCGGCAGGCUUAACACAUGCAAGUCGAGCGGGGUGAUGGUGCUUGCACUAUCACUUAGCGGCGGACGGGUGAGUAAUGCUUAGGAAUCUGCCUAUUAGUGGGGGACAACAUCUCGAAAGGGAUGCUAAUACCGCAUACGUCCUACGGGAGAAAGCAGGGGAUCACUUGUGACCUUGCGCUAAUAGAUGAGCCUAAGUCGGAUUAGCUAGUUGGUGGGGUAAAGGCCUACCAAGGCGACGAUCUGUAGCGGGUCUGAGAGGAUGAUCCGCCACACUGGGACUGAAACACGGCCCAGACUCCUACGGGAGGCAGCAGUGGGGAAUAUUGCACAAUGGGCGCAAGCCUGAUGCAGCGACGCCGCGUGUGUGAAGAAGGCCUUAUGGUUGUAAAGCACUUUAAGCGAGGAGGAAGCUACUUUAGUUAAUACCUAGAGAUAGUGGACGUUACUCGCAGAAUAAGCACCGGCUAACUCUGUGCCAGCCGCCGCCGUAA
rnacentral:rRNA from 1 species